rnacentral:misc_RNA from 1 species
AAGAGUAUAGUUUAAUGGUAAAACAGAAAGCUUCAACCUUUAAAUUCUUAGUUCGAGUCUAAGUACUCUUGCCCCCCCCUUCCCCACCCUGCAGUACUGCAGGGGGGGGCAGGUUGGCGGGAUAAAAAAUUGUUUUGCCUAUAUGUCC